AAUAUGUGUUGCAUAGUGGUGCUCUGUUUGCAUUUCUGAUUUCUGAUGUUAUGCGCACGCCUUUUGAAGCUGGACAGACAUGGCUGGGUGGUUUGUGUAUCUUCUUGGAGGAGUGGCUUGUGUGCUGACAAAGAAGGUUGCUUGACCCGUCUUGAAACACGGACCAAGGAGUCUAACAGACGUGCAAAAGAAUGAUUUAAAAUGUGGCAAAACUGAAAGGAAGAGUUAGCAUGUGUGCUCCAACGGCCAAAUGCUUGGUAGACACGCAUUUGAAUUUGAGCAUGUUUGUUAGGACCCGAAAGAUGGUGAACUAUGCUUGAUCAGAAUGAAUUCAGAGGAAACUCUGACGGAAGUUCGUAUCGAUACUGACGUGCAAAU
rnacentral:rRNA from 1 species